CCUACGGGCGGCAGCAGUGGGGGAUAUUGCACAAUGGGGGAAACCCUGAUGCAGCGACGCCGCGUGGGCGAAGAAGUAUUUCGGUAUGUAAAGCCCUAUCAGCAGGGAAGAAGAAAUGACGGUACCUGAGUAAGAAGCACCGGCUAAAUACGUGCCAGCAGCCGCGGUAAUACGUAUGGUGCAAGCGUUAUCCGGAUUUACUGGGUGUAAAGGGAGCGCAGGCGGCACGGCAAGCCUGAAGUGAAAGCCCGGGGCUCAACCCCGGGACUGCUUUGGAAACUGCCUGACUGGAGUGCUGGAGAGGCAAGCGGAAUUCCUAGUGUAGCGGUGAAAUGCGUAGAUAUUAGGAAGAACACCAGUGGCGAAGGCGGCUUGCUGGACAGUAACUGACGUUGAGGCUCGAAAGCGUGGGGAGCAAACAGGAUUAGAUACCCUAGUAGUC
rnacentral:rRNA from 1 species